AAAUUUAAAAAUUGUUUAAUGUAAUAGUUCAACAAUGCGGAGGGCUAAAUCCUCAGAUUCACCCCUUGAACUAGCUUCCGCAUACACACUACAAUUAGAGUUAGAAUGAUAAUUAACAUUGAACUUACCGAACAGCAUCCUCGGUUCCAGAUGAUCGAACAAAUGCCCGACCGCCCGUGUAUUUUGCUACCAAAGCGUCAAUUUUUUCUUGAAGUCCUUCCGGUGUUACUAGUUUUUGUUCGGCAUCAGUAGUAGUAUAAAUUGACCGGUCUUCUACUUCAC